AUUGAACGCUGGCGGCAGGCUUAACACAUGCAAGUCGAACGAGUGGCGGACGGGUGAGUAAUGCUUGGGAAUCUGGCUUAUGGAGGGGGAUAACUACGGGAAACUGUAGCUAAUACCGCGUACCAUAGGAUGAGCCCAAGUGGGAUUAGGUAGUUGGUGAGGUAAAGGCUCACCAAGCCGACGAUCUCUAGCUGGUCUGAGAGGAUGACGGUACACAAUGGGACGGUGACACGGACCAGACGCAUACUUGAGGAAGCAGUGGGGAAUAUUGGGCAAUGGGGGCAGCCUGACGCAGCCAUGCCGGGUGAAUGAAGAAUGCUUUAGGGUUGUAAAGUUAUUUCGGUAGAGAGUCGUUAACUACAGAAGAAGCACCGGCUAACUCCGUGCCAGCAGCCGCGGUAAUAC
rnacentral:rRNA from 1 species